rnacentral:tRNA from 1 species
GAGGGUGUAGCUCAGUGGUAGAGUGUGUGCUUAGCAUGCACGAGGUCCUGGGUUCAAUUCCCAGUGCCUCCA